UGAAGACUUGGCCCAUGACCAGCCUGAUUGGUUGCAGGAGGGGACCAGAGGUACUUUCAGUUUUUCAUCUGCCAUGCACAGAAGUGGGGAGGUUGCAAAGGGAAUAACCCUUUUGUUACUUGGGCGUGGAAAGUUGGGGUUUUCCUUUUGAUUUAGUUCCAGGAAUUCAGCUUGAAUUGGCCUUAGGUUCCCUGCCUCAGACCCUGUUUCCCUGCCUCAUUAACAUAUGUCCCUGAGUUGUUUUUCAGAAACUCAGACACCCACCAAAUGGAUCCACUGGCACAUAAACCUCAGGCUGGAUUCUAUAGGUUUGCACCCAAACAACCUAUAGGCAUGACACAGCAAACCCUCACACAAACACUGGUUUUGCUUUAUGAAUUCAAUCCAAGACAGGGAAAACAGUCUCAAUUUUCUGGCACUCUCCCUCUUGAGCCCUGGAACUGGAGAAAUUCUAUGACAGGCUAUUCCUAUGUUGAAGUAAGAGAUGCACAGUCAAGAAAAGCCAAGAAACUCAAGUAAGUAUUGUAUGCCGGCACCAGAAGCACAGGACUGCUCUGACUGAAAGUGGCAAUAAAGGAAAGCUGAGACACGUGGGAAAAGGGACAAGAGCCAGAAGAAAUACAAAAGGAAAAAAACAGGCAGAGUAAAGGACAGCACAGAAUAGACAUGGUGGUGUGGAAAACAAGCAGCAAGCCGUCUGACAGCUGAGAAGAGCAGCAAAGAAACUUAGAGCAGUUCUGUCAUGUGGAGAGAGGGGCAAAUAGCCCCCAACCCCAAAAAGCGUGGUAAUUAAGGCAUUCACUCAUUCACUCAUUCAUUCAACAAACUUACUCUGUGGGAAAAGCUUAAACUUGAUUCACUUCUAAACACCCACUUCUAUUAUUUUUACAUUUUAUUAUGAUUUAAAUGUUAUUAUUAAAAAAUGUUUUGG
rnacentral:lncRNA from 1 species